rnacentral:sRNA from 1 species
GUGUUCGUGCAGCUGAAGUAUGGAUGGAUGAAUUUAAAGAGCUCUACUACCAUCGCAACCCCCGUGCUCGCUUGGAACCUUUUGGGGAUGUGACAGAGAGGAAGCAGCUCCGGGACAAGCUCCAGUGUAAAGACUUCAAGUGGUUCUUGGAGACUGUGUAUCCAGAACUGCAUGUGCCUGAGGACAGGCCUGGCUUCUUCGGGAUGCUCCAGAACAAAGGACUAACAGACUACUGCUUUGACUAUAACCCUCCCGAUGAAAACCAGAUUGUGGGACACCAGGUCAUUCUGUACCUCUGUCAUGGGAUGGGCCAGAAUCAGGUAGGUAUGAGCCUCAAAAGAGGAGAAAGCUGUGUGUUUUGUUAAAAAAAUUAAAUAUUUGAAUUUUUUUCUUGUAAAAGUAAUAUUUGGGAAAUAUAAAAAGUAGAAGCCUGGGGUGGCCAGACUCAGGGAGACCACUAUUAAAAUUAAAAUGUGUUUUCUUCCCAUCAUUUUUUACACAUAACACAUAGAGAUUAUGUGUUGUAAAUAGUUGUCAUAAUGUCUGUAUGUUUUAUAUUCCAUUAUUUGCAUUCCCUUCAUCUACUUUUCUUAUGUUAUUAGAUAUCCCUUGAGAAUAUCAUUCCUAGUGGCC